CUACGGGUGGCUCCAGUCGAGAAUCUUCGGCAAUGGACGAAAGUCUGACCGAGCGACGCCGCGUGCGGGAUGAAGGCCUUCGGGUUGUAAACCGCUGUCAGAGGGAAGGAAAUUUUGACCGAUCCUCAAAGGAAGUACGGGCUAAGUUCGUGCCAGCAGCCGCGGUAAGACGAACCGUACAAACGUUAUUCGGAAUCACUGGGCUGAAAGGGUGCGUAGGUGGUCUAUUAAGUUGGGUGUGAAAUCCCUCGGCUCAACCGAGGAACUGCGCUCAAUACUGGUAGACUUGAGGGAGAUAGAGGUGAGCGGAACUGAUGGUGGAGCGGUGAAAUGCGUUGAUAUCAUCGGGAACACCAGUGGCGAAAGCGGCUCACUGGAUCUCUUCUGACACUGAGGCACGAAAGCUAGGGGAGCGAACGGGAUUAGAUACCCCCGUAGUC
rnacentral:rRNA from 1 species